GGCAUAGGGUGAAAGAAACUCUGCCCAUUGUUUCUCGCCGGCGCCCGGGAUCGAACCCGGGACCAGAGGAUCACAAGUCCAGCGUGCAGUCGGCUCGGCCGACCGGCUCCCUCAAAAGUUACCUUCGACGAGGAUGGGAUACAAACCCACGCAGGGAAAACCCAGUAUUGAUCAGAGAACAACCAGUAUUGAUCAGAGAACAACCAGUAUUGAUCACAGAACAACCAGUAUUGAUCACAGAACAACCAAUAUUGAUCACAGAACAACCAGUAUUGAUCACAGAACAACCAGUAUUGAUCACAGAACAACAAGUAUUGAUCACAGAACCAGUAGCGAUCAGAGAACAACCAAUUAUGAUCACAGAACAACCAGUAUUGAUCACAGAACUAGUAUUGAUCACAGAACUAGUAUUGUUCACAGAUCUAGUAUUGAUUACAGAACCAGUACUGAUCACAGAACCAGUAUUGAUCACAGAACAGCCAGUAUUAAUCACAGAACAACCAGUGUUGUUCACAGAACCAGUAUUGAUCACAGAACAACCAGUGUUGUUCACAGAACAACCAGUAUUGAUCAUAGGACAACCAGUAUUGAUCACAGAACAACCAGUAUUGACCACAGAACAACAAGUAUUGAUCACAGAACCAGUAGCGAUCACACAACAACCAGUAUUGAUCACAUAACAACCAGUAUUGAUCACAGAAAAACCAGUAUUGACCACAGAACAACCAGUAUUGAUCACAGAACAACAAGUAUUGAUCACAGAACAACAAGUAUUGAUAACAGAACCAGUAGCGAUCACAGAACAAGCAGUAUUGAUCACAGAACAGCCAGUAUUGAUCACAGAGCAACCAGUGUUGUUCAUAGAACCAGUAUUGACCACAGAACAACCAGUAUUGAUCACAGAACAACCGGUAAUUGAUCACAGAACCAGUAUUGAUCACAGAACAGCCAGUAUUGAUCACAGAACAUCCAGUAUUGAUUACAGAACCAGUAUUGAUCACAGAACCAGUAUUGAUCACAGAACCAGUAUUGACCACAGAACAACCAGUAUUGAUCACAGAACAACCAGUAUUGAUCACAGAACAACCAGUAUUGAUCACAUAACCAGUACUGAUCACAGAACAAGCAGUAUUGAUCACAAAGCAACCAGUUUUGACCACAGAACAACCAGUAUUGAUCAUAGAACCAGUAUUGAUCACAGAACAACCAGUAUUGAUCACAGAACCAGUAUUGAUCACAGAACAACCAGUAUUGUGGGAAAACUUGACUCAUGUAAUUCAUUUAAAUUGAUCCUAAUUCGAUACCUACGAAGGACCACCACUUUUUAAAGGAAAAGUGGAAACUGGGUAGAGCAAGUGGUUUACUAUUAAAUCCAUGAACUAGUGUCCUAUGGAUAUUAUUGAUAAUUAUUAUCUUGAAUAUAUAUAUUGACUGUAAUUUAUGAAUCAAAUCUUCUCACCCAAAAUGGGGGGUUAAAUGUGAAAAGACUAUUGCAUCCCUGACAUCAUUCCAGUGUGGUUCGAUCACUGAAGUAAAUGAGAUAAUUAAUUGCAAAAUUGUGCAAAGAUAAUCAGAGGUGAAUGGGCCUCAAGAUACUACAAUCGACUAGUAUUACUACCAAUGCUGCUUAGCUGUGACAGUGAACGGAGAUGCAGAGUCGUGAUGGCGUUGUCUGGUGCUUGCUGGAUCACGUGAGCCAAGAGCGUGGCGUGGGAAAAUGAUGAGACCACGGCCGCUCCAACGCACACUGAAAUUCCAAUUAAAAGUACAAAUUGCCUACACCAAGUAGAUUGUGUCAUCACUAUUCAAUAGAAGGGACAGAGCAAAUUCCUUACAGACGUACUUGUAGUUUGGGGAGGUCUUGUGGUGUAACGAUGGACAAAGUGUAUUAUAAAAUUAAAAGAGCUCGAUUAA